rnacentral:rRNA from 1 species
UUUAGUGCCUUCGGGAACUGUGUGACAGGUGCUGCAUGGCUGUCGUCAGCUCGUGUUGUGAAAUGUUGGGUUAAGUCCCGCAACGAGCGCAACCCCUAUCCUUAUUUGCCAGCGCGUAUGGCGGGAACUCUAAGGAGACUGCCGGUGAUAAACCGGGGGAAGGUGGGGACGACGUCAAGUCAUCAUGGCCCUUACGGGAUGGGCUACACACGUGCUACAAUGGCGUAUACAGAGUGCUGCAAUACCGCGAGGUGGAGCGAAUCACACAAAGUACGUCGUAGUCCGGAUUGGAGUCUGCAACUCGACUCCAUGAAGUCGGAAUCGCUAGUAAUCGUAGAUCAGAAUGCUACGGUGAAUACGUUCCCGGGCCUUGUACACACCGCCCGUCC